CUUACCAGGUGGUGGAAGUUCCUGUUUGGUUUGACUAUAAGAACUAUAUGUCUAUGAUACGCACUGCAAGAAUCUUCCUAUUCACAGUUGUGGAGUUUGAUAAUCCGUGCUUCGUGCUCUUCCAAUCUUCCCAAUGAAGUUCCUGUUAUUCCUUGUGUUGAUUUGUGUCUCUACUAUCCUGGUCUUUUGUUUUCCCUCUGGAAGGAAAUCAGUUGCUGAAAGCAACUAUGUGGCUGAAGAACAACUCAUUAGGCCUGUGAAAGGCACAGGAUCUUCUCAGGAACCAGAAGACUCACAAGAAAGUUCUGUGGACUGUGGUGGCAAUGUGUUUGAGAGUGCUGAGAUGUUACUCUGGGGGAAUCAUAGAUUGUU
rnacentral:lncRNA from 1 species